AUUGAACGCUGGCGGCAGGCCUAACACAUGCAAGUCGAGCGGAUGAAGGGAGCUUGCUCCUGGAUUGAGCGGCGGACGGGUGAGUAAUGCCUAGGAGUCUGCCUGGUAGGGGGGGAUAACGGCCGGAAACGGGCGCUAAUACCGCACACGUCAUGAGGGAGAAAGUGGGGGAUCUUCGGACCGCACGCUAUCAGAUGAGCCUAGGUCGGAUUAGCUAGUUGGUGGGGUAAAGGCCUACCAAGGCGACGAUCCGUAACUGGUCUGAGAGGAUGAUCAGCCACACUGGGACUGAGACACGGUCCAGACUCCUACGGGAGGCAGCAGUGGGGAAUAUUGGACAAUGGGCGAAAGCCUGAUCCAGCCAUGCCGCGUGUGUGAUGAAGGUCUUCGGAUUGUAAAGCGCUUUAAGUUGGGACGAAGGGCAGUCAGUUAAUACCGGACGGUUUUGACGGUACCGAAAGAAUAAGCACCGGCUAACUACGUG
rnacentral:rRNA from 1 species